rnacentral:lncRNA from 1 species
UUCAGUGUUCUGAACCUGUAUUUUACAUUUUCAGAAAAGUUGACCACAGAAGCAUGUUUAUAUUGUAUUAAAACAAACUAUUUUUCUGGAAAGUUUUCCCAUUAAGCGUCUAACCUCCAAGCAUCGAAUCCCAGGCCAAUUUGUGAAGCAUGUUUAUAUUGUAUUAAAACAAACUAUUUUUCUGGAAAGUUUUCCCAUUAAGCGUCUAACCUCCAAGCAUCGAAUCCCAGGCCAAUUUGUGUGAGUAUAAGUCAUUGAUAUGGUUCUACUGUGAACCCACCUAAAUCUCAUCUUGAACUGUACCUCCUACAAUUUCCACAUGUCAUGGGAGGGCCCCGGUGGAAGGUAACUGAACAAUGGGAGCAGGUCUUUCCCAUGCUCUUCUGGUGAUACUGUCAUGAGAUCUGAUG